AUUGAACGCUGGCGGAAUGCUUUACACAUGCAAGUCGAACGGCAGCACGGACUUCGGCCUGGUGGCGAGUGGCGAACGGGUGAGUAAUGUAUCGGAACGUGCCCAGUCGUGGGGGAUAACGUAGUGAAAAUUACGCUAAUACCGCAUACGAUCUAUGGAUGAAAGCGGGGGAUCGCAAGACCUCGCGCGAUUGGAGCGGCCGAUAUCAGAUUAGGUUGUUGGUGAGGUAAAAGCUCACCAAGCCAACGAUCUGUAGCUGGUCUGAGAGGACGACCAGCCACACUGGAACUGAGACACGGUCCAGACUCCUACGGGAGGCAGCAGUGGGGAAUUUUGGACAAUGGACGCAAGUCUGAUCCAGCCAUUCCGCGUGCAGGAUGAAGGCCCUCGGGUUGUAAACUGCUUUUGUACGGAACGAAAAGGUCUCUCUUAAUACGGGGGGCUCAUGACGGUACCGUAAGAAUAAGCACCGGCUAACUACGUGCCAGCAGCCGCGGUAA
rnacentral:rRNA from 1 species